rnacentral:rRNA from 1 species
UACAGAGGUCUCAAGCGUUGUUCGGAUUCAUUGGGCGUAAAGGGUGCGUAGGUGGCGCGCUAAGUCAGGUGUGAAAUUUCGGAGCUUAACUCCGAAACUGCAUUUGAUACUGGCGUGCUUGAGGACUGGAGAGGAGACUGGAAUUCAUGGUGUAGCAGUGAAAUGCGUAGAGAUCAUGAGGAAGACCAGUGGCGAAGGCGGGUCUCUGGACAGUUCCUGACACUGAGGCACGAAGGCCAGGGGAGCAAACGAG